AACGAACGCUGGCGGCAUGCCUAACACAUGCAAGUCGAACGGGACCUUCGGGUCUAGUGGCGCACGGGUGCGUAACGCGUGGGAACCUGCCCUUAGGUUCGGAAUAACUCAGAGAAAUUUGAGCUAAUACCGGAUAAUGUCUUCGGACCAAAGAUUUAUCGCCUUUGGAUGGGCCCGCGUAGGAUUAGCUUGUUGGUGGGGUAAUGGCCUACCAAGGCGACGAUCCUUAGCUGGUCUGAGAGGAUGAUCAGCCACACUGGGACUGAGACACGGCCCAGACUCCUACGGGAGGCAGCAGUGGGGAAUAUUGGACAAUGGGCGAAAGCCUGAUCCAGCAAUGCCGCGUGAGUGAUGAAGGCCUUAGGGUUGUAAAGCUCUUUUACCAGGGAUGAUAAUGACAGUACCUGGAGAAUAAGCUCCGGCUAACUCCGUG
rnacentral:rRNA from 1 species